UGCAAUCAAUGAUGAAUAAAAUCGUCCAUAUUUAAUGAUAAUUCAGUGAUUAUUAAACACUAGAUCACCAUCUUUCGGCUGAGAUUGCA
rfam:Brassica napus, WGS project CCCW01000000 data, contig: 17897